rnacentral:lncRNA from 1 species
ACUUCCGCUAUAGGGGGCAGCUGGGCUGGGUGCGAGGGCGGGGAGUGCAGGAAGGGUGAAGGGAUGCUUUGGAUCCUGCAGCCUUAGGUCGCGGUUUGGAAGGUCUCCCCCCUGUGAUUCAAGCUUCAGAGGCACCAGAAUCAGCACAAUGGUGAGUACAGAAAAGCCGCCCCUUUCCAAGUCAAAGAGACG